GUGAGAUCAGAGACAAGGAGUAAAAUGCCUGAGCUCAAGUGACAACAAGCAACCCCAGACUAGAGACAGGAUCCUUCUCCCCACUUCGAGCAGAUCCCAGCAUGAAUCCUGCAGUAUGGUGAUGGCAAAAGUCAGUGCAGGACCACUGGGACUCCUGGAGCUUCUCACAUCUCUGAGAGCACCAGCAGCAGUCCCCAGAUAGCAGAUGACUGGUAGGAAGAUGAGGCAAGUUUGCGGUCCAUUGUCAUGGAUAGUGGAGACAACACUGGGCCAGAAGUGGUAAGACCUGAAUCCAAGACUCAGCUCUGCCACUUGCUAAAUGGGACUUUGAAUAAACCAUUUCUCUGCACUUAAGUUCCUUACCAACAAAACGAGGGAAGUGGCCUACAUGCCUAGAUAUCAACAUUUCAUGUCACGUAGAGAUCUAGCAUCACAAGAAUCCAAGUCAUCCUCUGUUGCCUUUAAGUUCCAAGAGGAACCAUCACCCAGUUGAAACUGUGAACCUCUCUCACAAAGUCUAAGUAGCCCUUGAUUCAAGCUAUGGGCACCAGUCUCCACAUAAUCUACUCAGAAGCACUGUAGUGUGGAAAUUGGCAAUGUCUGCCUUCUCCAAAUCAUUCAAUAGAGUUUCAGCUUUUCUCAGGCAUUCUGCAUAUUUAUAAAAGUUAGCUCGAUGCAGUAUUCCAAUAAAACCACCAAUUAUAUGCCUUUCAAAGGAUGUCAUCUUCUGAAAGCGUUCCACAUGGCUAUAAUCUUAUUACCUCUGGUUGAAGUAGUCACAGACCAAACUAAACGGAACUGGACCAAGGGAAGAGGACACAGAAGGUAAAAGGAAGCCAGACCAGCAUGUUCUCCCACUCUAGUGCUCCUACCAAGAGGCUUUGAUAAGCAAUCACAAUUGUCCCCAGUGACAUGAAAGAAAAAGUGAAGCACCCUGUAGGGAUGCAUAGCAUGACAUCUACGUAGACUUGGGUCAUGGAAGGAAACUGUCACCACAUACAAGUUCAAGGGAAAUGUUCAGCCUCCAGGGUUAGCAGAGGUGAGAGAUCUGAAUACAGAAGUGGAAACAACAUUAGAAACAGCCUUGGAGGACAUCCAGCAGCCCAUGCAAGUGGCAGAAUGCUCAUGGACAAGCUGAGUUUGUAGGGAAACUGCAAUUAGAUAGACAGGAAUUGACGUCCAGAUUUGAGAUGUGUGGAAUCUGUGGGCAUGAUGUCAUUGGUUUGUAGGGUUUAUGCUCCAUUUGUCCUUACAGAGGAUCCCAGGAAAGAGCAUAGUGUGAGGGAGGUCAUGGGAUUAAGGUGAGACAUUGUGGCAGAGAACCAUCUUUUCAUCAAAACUGUGCACUCUUCCUUCCAUAGUGUGGAGCGUGUACAGGAAUGAAGCUGCUCACCCAGGACUUAUGCUUUGCACCUUUGUGCUCCUCACAUAUGGCCAUGUGCCCGUCCCCCCGUCCCCCACCCCACCAAUGGCAUCUGUGCAGAGUGAUAUGCGCCACUUCCAGGCUGGAUAUUUACACUGUGGUUACCUUCUGUCCCUUUUCUCUGCAUCAGCCGCUGAAUGAAGCUCUGCCCAGGCCUUAGGAAAAGGUGAAACCCCAACUAGCAGGGGCCCCAGUUCACCAUAUCCAGGAAGGUGUCCUUGAACCAGAAAUACCCACGUUGUACUCCGACAUGAACAAGAAAUAGAUUUCUAUUAUAUUAAGCAACAGAAAUUUUCAGAUAUAUCAGUUCUCGCAGCAGGAAGGAUGUAUUGAUAAUGGCAACAUGGAUGGAGCUCAAAACAUCACAUUUAAUGAAAAAAGAGACUUACAUAAAAAAAUUAUAGACUAUAUUAUUACAUUCAAAUGAAGUUCAAGAACAAGCAAAAGUUGUGGAAAAAUAUCAGAAAACUUGCUUCUGCUGGAGGGGUAGGAUGGGAUUUGACUGGGAAGAGGCCUAGGGGAACAUGCUGGAAUGAUAUUAAUGUUCUAUUUCUUGAUGGAGGUUUGGGUUCCACAGGUGUAUGUAUUUGCUAAAAGUUAGCAAAUGUAGAGUUAAGGUUUGUGUUCUUCCUUGUGCAAUACAUUUUACACCAAAGGAAAGGCUGUAAACAAAUAUUGAACUGUAGUUAAUCAUAUGUAUGGAGAAAAACUUAAGGAAAAGACUUAUGAAUGCCUCAAGUUUAUUUAAAAAAGCAUUAAAAAUAAGAUUAAACAGGUAUUUAUGGAUAAACUACUGAAACUGAGAGAUAUUAACAGUAAAUAGUCAAAAUGUUCACUGUAAGAAUGAAAUUGAAAGGGAUUUGAACCCAGGUCUGUUUCACUGUAAAUCCUUGCUCCUGUGCUCUCUCAUGUUUAUUGGAAUUCAUGGGUAGAAAAUUUAAAUGCUCUGAAUCACUAUGAGAAGAAAGAUUCAGGAAAAAAAAAUGAAAGGCUAGAUUUCCAAAGAUAAGCCAGGUAAAUAUCAUGGAGAGUUGCAACAAUGUACUGCUAAUUAACUCUAAUACUUAGAGCUAAUGUCGAGUUUUCUGAGGGUUGUGACAUUCAUACAUGACUAAUUAACCUACACAGCAAAUCCAUUUCACUAGCUGCCAUGACACAGCCAAUCAAGACUAGCUCACUGUUUGCUCAUUUGGAAAAUGAUGAGGAUUCCCAUUUAGACUUAAUUACACUACAAAGAUUGACAAUUAUCUUCUCUAUAGAAGCAUCAGAUGUUUCGAUAUUAUACUGAACAUGUGCCUAUAAUUAUGUCCAUAAUUUGUCUAGCAGAAAAUGUAACCCAGUCAUUACUGAGAUCUUAUGCCUGUAAUUAGAUAUCAAAAAAAAAAUACCAAAUGGGAAAAGUGGGUUGUUGGGAUGUUAGGACCAUUACAAUGUGAGAAUCUGUAUGAAGCUAUUAGUGGGAACUCAGUAGCAACCAACAUCUCUUGGAUUGCUGCCCUCUAUUAAAAAUAAUCAGGAAGUGUGAGAGAGGGGAAAAUGAUGGCAGAGUAAAACCAUAGUACAAUCGCUUUUCCAAUACUUGACUGCAGUCAUUAAAAAUCCCAUAGGCACCUCAAAUUCAACACAUUUGAAACCGACUCAUUAGCCACCUUUGCCCCACUAUAGCUACUCCUUUUCCUGUGUUUGCUUUCUUAGACGAUUGCAAAGCAUUGUAGAGUCAUCUGCAACAAUUGUUCUCUCACUCCUUUCUCCUAAUCAAACCUCCGUGAUUCUGAUUACUAAUUUUUUCUAAGUGUGUUGCUCCUCUCUAUGCUGUGACUCUUCCAUUGUCUGCCUUCAUCAUCCUUGUAUGGUCAAUUUCAAGAGCACGUAUAAGAACGGUGCUGCAUCUGAAUGUUCACUCAUAAGUGGGAGUUGAACAAUGAGAACACAUGGACACAGGGAGGGGAACAUCACACGCUGGGGCCAAGCGGAGGGAGAGCAUUAGGACAAAUACCUAAUGCAUGUGGGGCUUAAAACCUAGAUGAUGGGUUGAUGGGUACAGCAAACCACUAUGGCACAUGUAUACCUAUCUAACAAGCCUGCAUGUUCUGCACGUGUAUUCCAGAACUUAAAGUAUAAUAAUAAUAAAAGAAGAAUGGUGCCGCUUUCCUCAAAUGUCUCCACCGUGUCACUUAUCUUCUGAAUUUCUCCCAGUAUGAUCAUCUCUAAUCACGAAUCUCAUUAUGCCACUCUGCCAUUCAGAAGAGUUGAGUGUGUCCACCUCUUUCCUAACAGCAUUUGGCAGAACACAGAAAGUAUGUUUUGUUUUUCAUUGAAUUUUGUGCCAGCUUCACGCUGGCCUGCCCCAGUCUGUAAUUUAGGCUAGCUCCAUUAUAUGGUUUACUAAUUAUGUAAUGUGACAUGCUCAUUAUUUCAGUUAUCUCUUGCAGGACAACUGGCUACCCCAAAAUUUAAUAGCUAAAAGCAAUCAUUUUUAUUUUGCUAAUGAUUUUUUGGGGUAAGGAAUGUAGAAACGGCUCCAAAGGGUGGUCGUUUCUGAUCAAUAUUGCAUCAGCUGGGGUGGAAGAAUCUUCUUCAAAAUAGCUUCUUUACUCACAUCUGGUGCCUUAGGGCUUCUUGACCUCUCUCUCUCUUCAUGUGGCUUCUCAUCCUCCAGGCUUUCUUCACUUGGCUUACCUUCUUGCAGCAAGGGUAUCUAAAAGAAGUCUCACUUUUUACACGGAAGCUAGAUUCCAAGAGGCAGGCAGUAGAAACUGCGCAGCUAGCUAAAGGCUAUAACAGAAAAAGGCAUGGCAACACUUCUACCAUAGUCUAUUAGUGAAGGCAGUUCCCAAGACCCUCAGAUUUAAGAGCACAGAGAAAUAGAUCCCAAUUCUAGAUGGGAAAAUGUCCAGGUCACGUUGAAGAAGAGCACAUAGGGCAAGAGACACUGUUGCACCUGUAUUUGCAAAAGUAAAUCUAUAUGCAUGCUAUUUCAUUCUUCUAAAAUACUGAGUGGCUGUAGCUCUCAACGCUAAUCGCUCUGUCUAUCCUACUCAAAUGCACUUCGGAGCAAUUGCUCAACUUUGCACAUUCUCUACGCAACCUCUCUCCAAAAUGCCCCUACAAUACUUAGUGUAAUCUCUUUUAUGUUAGAGUGGAACACCAUUGUCUAUUUACUGACAUAUUUAUCUCUCCCGCCAGAAUAUAAGGAUAAGCUCAUGUCUUAUUUACUUUAGAAUACCUUUUGUGUAACACAGAUGCUGGCAUAUAGUAGAUAUUAAAUACAUGUUCUAUUGAUCACAAGACUAAUAAAAGGAAUAAAUAAAUUGUCCUAUUCAUACAUGUAUUAUCUAUGCCUGGGGUACUUCCUGGAACAAGUUUAGUACCUGGUGAUUAUCAGCUUCCAAGAUGGCCCCCAAUAGUCUCCACCUCCUGAAUUCACACUCUUUGUAGUUCCUUCCUGCAUUGUGCCAGAGUUGGUCAAUGUGACCAACAGGAUAUAGUAGAAGGGAUGGUAUUAUGCUAUAAAAGACGUUCAAUUUUUAUCUCUUUCUCUCUCAUAAUUCACCCUGAGAGAAACCAGCUGCCUUGUUGCAAGCAGUCCUACGGAGAGGCCCACAUAGUGAGAAACUGAGGCCUUCUGCCAACAGCCAGAGGAGGGAGCUUGCAAGCAGACCCUCCAGCCCCAGCUAAGCUUCAGGUGACUGUCCAGGCAACGGCUGGAGUAAAACCUCACAAGACGUCCAGAGCUAGAGCCACCCAGCUCAGCUGCUCCCAGAUUUCUGACUCUCAGAAACCAUGUGAAUGUUUGCACAGAGAGUGACGGAACAAGAUCCCCAAAGGAGAAGUGGUUAAUCCUUUGCUUUCAUUAGCCUAAGGAGAUUUGCUAGUUUGAGUCCUGGGAGAUGAGAUGGGGAAGAUGGGCCCAAGCUGCAACAUGAAGGUCCAUGAUGAACAGUUGGCAUCUCCUACAGUGCCUGCCACUUGGUAAUGUUCAAUGCAGCCAAGGGAGCUAAGGUAAUGAACAAAACAGAGAAGUUCCUACCCUCCCUGAUGUUCAUUCUAGCAAAUGGAGACAGAUGAUAGAAACUGCACAUCAUUGAGCAAGAGGGACACCAUGGAUAAUGGAAAGAUCUACGGCAAGGCUGGCUGUCUGCCCUGUCUAAGGAGGACGUACUGGACCAUCCUGCUCUGCACAUCCAGAUGUGUCCAUGAAUACAUCCAUAAAACGAUGGCCUGUGGAAUCCUAUAGGAAAAUGAUCCAGAGCCUGGGCGGUCAGAAGGAACAAACACUUGAUUUACAAAAUAAAUCUUCUAUGUUUAUGUUUUAAAGACACACAGAGGAAAAACAUUUUUAAAUUCAUGAUUUCCCCCCCCAGAUUUUAACUAUUGUAAUCUCUUUCUUUCCUGAGCCUUAGGCAUCUUCAUUAUAAACCAAAAGAUAUAACUUGAGAUUUUCCCAGGGUUUAUAUACUCGUUAGAGUUGGAAACAUGAAAAUGGCAAUUUGGGAUGUCUCUUUGGAGUCAAAAACCUUAUAAAAAUAUAAUGUACUUUCUCUCUCUCUUCAUUUCCUCAUUUUUCUGGUCAAAGCUAGAAGAGUAAGAUGUCUUUGAAACUAUUAAGAUAAUUUUUAAG
rnacentral:lncRNA from 1 species